UACGUAGGGCGCAAGCGUUAUCCGGAAUUAUUGGGCGUAAAGAGCUCGUAGGCGGUUUGUCGCGUCUGCCGUGAAAGUCCGGGGCUCAACUCCGGAUCUGCGGUGGGUACGGGCAGACUAGAGUGAUGUAGGGGAGACUGGAAUUCCUGGUGUAGCGGUGAAAUGCGCAGAUAUCAGGAGGAACACCGAUGGCGAAGGCGGCUACCUGGACAGAAACUGACGCUGAGGCGCGAAAGCAUGGGGAGCAAACAGG
rnacentral:rRNA from 1 species